UUUGGUGUGGUAUGUGUUUUCAUGAUCCUGCCUGGCAAUAAGCAUGCCUCUGCCCCCCAAAGAUGCCUCGGUAUUUGGUGAGGUGUGGUAUUCGUUUGUUUAUGUUCAGAUGUUAGCACAAAGCAUUUAACAAUGUGAAAUAAUCUUACCAAGGUCAUGAAGAAGCUUUUUACCAGCCAAACACACAACACUAACAACACAAUAAGUGCAAAGAAACAAGUUUCAACCCUCUGGGGCUCAUAAUCAAAUUCACAAGCCAAGUUCAAAUUUGAUUAUGGAUAACAUCAUGAUAAAAAGUGCAUUGAAGUUAUUACUAGAGGAGAGGGGAGGGGGUAAACUGAAGUUAUUUUGGGCCUUCAACAGCACAAGAGGUACACCUAAAUAUCACUCCCUUUAAAUGAAGGAAAAUGAAAAGGAAAGAAAAAGCUAAUAGAUACAAUAGUUCAAAUUUAAUCAUUUUCUGUUAAUUUUAUUUUUCUUAAACAACUCUAUCCACAAAUCAUUAGCCCAAAUACAACCAAGACACUAAUAGGAAAAUAAAUGAAAAUCUCAUCCCGAUUGCUCUUUUCGAAAGGUUUGUAAUAAAUACAUAUAUUUUCUACCUAACAACCAACCCCGUAUAAGUAGUUAAACCUAAAACUCCACCCAAAAAAAUACCGUUGCAGUUUGCUUGGAAAUUAAUCACUUCGUAUCAAAAUAAAAAACAUAACAAUAAUAGAAUGAAAAAAAAAGUCAAGGUGAAUUCUUUUUUUUUACUUGAUCACUCUGAACACAUAUAUCACUCCAAAUAAAGUGAGAUAUUUAUGAUAGAAGAAAUUCAACAUGUAAAUAAAUGUAGUUGGACAUGAUAAAAUAAAUAAAAUAUUUUAAUAUUAAAAUACAAAGCUCCAAAGUACACAACAUAUUAUAAACUUAUGCAUAAGCAAAUAAACAAAGUCUAGAAACUUAACAAAGUCUCUCUGACGCGACUGAGAAGGGUUUGAAAGCAUAAUUUGGUGGCAUUGUUGUCCCACUCUAGUUAGAGGUGUCAAACGUGCCCGCCGUGUCGUGCAACUUUUCUUUCGUGCCAACUGUGCUCCGUGCUUCAUGUAGUGCUAGGCCCAUUUACUUAACGGGCUGGACCGGGCCUUUUUUAAUCGUGUCAGGCCAUUUUUAAUCGUGUUGUGCCAUGUUGUGUCAUUUUGUAACCGUGUCGUGCCGUGCCGGCCCACUAACUUAGUCGUGUGGCUCGUGCCGUGCCGUAUCCCUCUACUUAAUCGUAUUGGGCCAAACCCGUAUUUUAUCAUGUCGUGCCUUUUACCGGCCCAAUUUUGUUAAAAAAAGGUUUUAUAUUACUCAUUAAUAUGUUUUGCCAUUAUUUUUACGUAGACCAAAAAAAAUAAGAACUACUAAGCUCCAACAAUUUGGCAAUUUUUAAAUCUAUUCAGACUUUUUCAAUUUCAGGUCUCCCUAGUCAAUAGCAACCAAGAAAACGUAGAACCAAAGCUAAAAUGAUGGCUUAAACGUUAUUCCACACGAACAAAAAUGAUCUGUCACAGCUUAUAAAUUGGUUUAGCAGGUUCAUAAGUGAUUUUUUUUUUUUUACUUACAUUUUCAAAUUACAUUUUUAUUUAUUUAUUUAUUUCACCGACUUUGUUCUACUUUUAUCACUAAGGAUUGCACCAGGGCACAAACCGUUGUUCUUUGAAGAAAUUGAACAAACCAGUUUAUGACUAACACUGUAUGAAACACGAAAGAAGACGGGACAAGAUGGUCAAAAUUGCUCUAAUCCACUUGAAUAUUAAAACACACAUUAUUUGUGUCAGUCACUAUACCGCAUCAUAUUUUUUUAUCCCUUCUAAUCUUUACUUCGUUAUAAUUUCUAAAUUUUGAAAUUGAAAACCUUCAACAGACACACUCUACAGAAGUUGUAAUUUAUAAGGUUGCUAAAACACAUAUAAUUUCCCACACAAAUGCGCAAAAUAAAGAAGUGGAUCAAAGAUGAGAGAGAGAAUGCCUGCAAUAAAAGCUGAAAUAGUAAAUGCGCACGAGACACUCAAUACCUAAAACAGGUUAAACUUGUCCAAAACUGUGUUCGUCAAAAGUUAAAUGAUCCCUAACGUGACAUUUUGAAAGUAAGAUCGGAAACCCUAAAGUGACAUUCAACACCUGUGGAGAGAGAGGACUUACGGUGGCGAUGGGAAGUGGUGGUGGCGACAAUGUGGGCUAUGGCGGCGAUUUUAGGGGAACGAACCACUAAGAGAAAGGAAAAGUGAAUUUGAGGUCUUGUUUGAAAAACAAUUUGUUUUUAAUUUAGAAAAAUUACAAUGACCUCCCCUGUGAUUUGUAUUUAAUAUAGAUUCACUCUCACCUUUCAUAAAUUACACUUUAGUCCCCUAAGACAAAUAGGGGAAAAGCUUUUGGGUCCGUGAAGAAGAUGCGAAAGAGCCUGUUUAUACUAUAAUCCUAAUCUAGUGCAUGUGUCACACUUAUGCACGAAACUGAAAAACUACUGUAAAAU
rnacentral:lncRNA from 1 species